rnacentral:tRNA from 1 species
GCCGCCGUGGCUCAAGUGGUAGAGCAGCUGACUUGUAAUCAGCAGGUUGCGGGUUCGAUUCCUGCUGGCGGCU